rnacentral:rRNA from 1 species
UGGCGGCGUGCCUAAUACAUGCAAGUCGAAUGGUAGCAAUACCAUGGCGAACGGGUGAGUAACACGUAGGUAACCUGUCUUUAAGCCGAGGAUAACCAUUGGAAACGAUGGAUAAUACUGGAUAGGACAUUUGAAGGCAUCUUUGAAUGUUUAAAGAUUUAUCACUUAGAGAGGGGCCUGCGGCGCAUUAGCUAGUUGGUGAGGUGAAGGCUUACCAAGGCGAUGAUGCGUAGCCGGACUGAGAGGUUGAACGGCCACAAUGGAACUGAGAACGGUCCAUACUCCUACGGGAGGCAGCAGUAGGGAAUUUUCGGCAAUGGGCGGAAGCCUGACCGAAGCAACGCCGCGUGAACGAAGAAGUAUUUCGGUAUGUAAAGUUCUUUUAUUAGGGACGAAAAGACAGAUUGACGGUACCUAAUGAAUAAGCUCCGGCUAACUACGUGCCAGCAGCUGC